GACAGAGGGUGCAAACGUUGUUCGGAAUUACUGGGCGUAAAGAGCGCGCAGGCGGUCGUUCAAGUCGCGUGUGAAAGCCCCCGGCUCAACUGGGGAGGGUCACGCGAUACUGAUCGACUCGAAGGCAGGAGAGGGAAGUGGAAUUCCCGGUGUAGUGGUGAAAUGCGUAGAUAUCAGGAGGAACACCGAUGGCGAAGGCAGGUCUCUGGGCAUUAACUGACGCUGAGGAGCGAAAGCAUGGGGAGCGAACAGG
rnacentral:rRNA from 1 species